AACCAUUCUCACCUGCGGCUAGACCUGCGGAGGGAUCAUUACGAGAGUGUCACCACUCCCAACCCAUUGUUUACCUACCCGUCCACCGUGCUUCGGCAGGCAGCCCUGUGGGACAGAGCCUCGCCCCCUUUCGCGGGGGGUGCCUGCCGCUUGCCAACCAAAACUCUAGCUGUUUUAGUACCAUCUGAGUCUUCCACAAAUGAACAAAACUUUCAACAACGGAUCUCAGAUCGGAAGAGC
rnacentral:misc_RNA from 1 species